UGGGGAAUCANNNNNNNCAAUGGGGGGAACCCUGACGCAGCCAUGCCGCGUGAAUGAAGAAGGCCUUAGGGUUGUAAAGUUCUUUCGGUAUUGAGGAAGGUUGAUGUGUUAAUAGCACAUCAAAUUGACGUUAAAUACAGAAGAAGCACCGGCUAACUCCGUGCCAGCAGCCGCGGUAAUACGGAGGGUGCGAGCGUUAAUCGGAAUAACUGGGCGUAAAGGGCACGCAGGCGGUUAUUUAAGUGAGGUGUGAAAGCCCUGGGCUUAACCUGGGAAUUGCAUUUCAGACUGGGUAACUAGAGUACUUUAGGGAGGGGUAGAAUUCCACGUGUAGCGGUGAAAUGCGUAGAGAUGUGGAGGAAUACCGAAGGCGAAGGCAGCCCCUUGGGAAUGUACUGACGCUCAUGUGCGAAAGCGUGGGGAGCAAACAGGAUUAGAUACCCUGGUAGUCCACGCUGUAAGCGCUGUCGAUUUGGGGGUUGGGGUUUAACUCUGGCGCCCGUAGCUAACGUGAUAAAUCGACCGCCUGGGGAGUACGGCCGCAAGGUUA
rnacentral:rRNA from 1 species